AUGGCCAAAGCAAUUUAUUCAAAUAGUGCAUACCUCCAGGAGAUCAUAUUAAUUUUCUUCCUAGCUUCAACCCCCUCCAAUCCCUCUGUACCUUUUGCCCUUUUAUUUCUGUUUGAAGAAAUAGAAAAGAGGCAGAAGCAGCACCAGCAGCAGCAGCCCCAGCGUAGCCCAGUCCAGCACCACCACAGCCCAGCCCGCCAACCACCUCCCCCUCUGGUAAUUCCACCUCCACGUAACACAUUUUCACCCUGGCCCCACAUGUCAUCCUCUCUCCUUCCUCCUUUCUUCCUCCUUGGCAGAACUCCCUCGCUCACAGUAACUCCAGGUCACCUCGGCGCACAUGGCCGCCGUGGCAAGGCCGACUCCAUCCUCGCCAUCCAGCCCCCCCUAUUUAACCCCCGUAGCAACCCCUAG
rnacentral:rRNA from 1 species